rnacentral:rRNA from 1 species
GUAGUCAUAUGCUUGUCUCAAAGAUUAAGCCAUGCAUGUCUAAGUACAUGCCGUAUUAAGGCGAAACCGCGAAUGGCUCAUUAAAUCAGUUACGGUUCCUUAGAUGUUGACUAUCUACAUGGAUAACUGUGGUAAUUCUAGAGCUAAUACAUGCACAAAAGCCUUGACCUUAACGGAAAAGGCGCAUUUAUUAGACCAAGACCAAUGGGUUCGUCGGGCAACCGGCGAAUCCUCCGAUGUGGUGACUCUGGAUAACUUUCGCUGAUCGCAUGGCCUAUGAGCCGGCGACGAAUCUUUCAAGUGUCUGCCUUAUCAACUGUCGAUGGUAGGUUAUGCGCCUACCAUGGUUGCAACGGGUAACGGGGAAU